rnacentral:rRNA from 1 species
UGCCAGCCGCCGCGGUAAGACGAAGGGUGCAAGCGUUGCUCGGAAUUACUGGGCGUAAAGCGACCGCAGGCGGUCCAGUAGGUCGGAUGUGAAAGCUCGGGGCUCAACCCCGGAAGUGCACUUGAAACAGCAAGACUUGAAUACGGUAGAGGAGAGAGGAAUUCCUGGUGUAGAGGUGAAAUUCGUAGAUAUCAGGAGGAACACCGAUGGCGAAGGCAUCUCUCUGGGCCGAUAUUGACGCUGAGGCGCGAAGGCGUGGGUAGCGAACGGGAUUAGAUA